ACACUGGCCGGGAGACCCGGAGGAAGGACACCCGCGCUGCGUGUGCUGUGGCGUGUGCCUCCUAGUUUAAGGUAGGAGUUGGGCUGAGGAGAGACAGAGCCAGCCAGUCAGAUUCAGGAAGUUGCGUUCCUGACCUCAGUAGCAGAGCUGGGUGCGGUGAAACCUCAGCCAGGGACGCAGGGGGCGCUUUCCUCCACAUCACACUGGUGGCACCCACUGACCGGCAGCGCCGCCUCUCUCCCGGGACCUGGCAGUGGGAGGGAGAGGCAGGAGCAGGGACCCAGACCUCACCCUUGUGCCCAAGUCACUUCAGAGCACCGGAACAGAGCCAGCGGUCCCGCCGGCGGGAAGCCUUCCAACGGACCCAAAGAGGUGUGAGGUUAAUCCUUAUUGCUGAAGACACCAUUCACUUCAGACACAGAAGCCAGAAGCUCCUGAGCUGGAUCUGGACUGAAAGAUUCCUCCCGGAGGAAGGUGUUCCUGGUGGCAUGCCCAAACGUGAAGCUGAGAGAAAAAUAAAUUCCAAGUGUCUAACACUGUGUUCUGUGACACCGAGGGCUUGUUAGAUAAUUGACGAUCCUCUGGCCCCACACUAGACCAGCACCAUGGAGAGAAACAGUUCUUUCUUCAACUCUGUCUGGGAAACCAUCCGGAUCAGACACGAAAGAGGCGUCUUCAACACAGUCUGCCUGGCUGUGCUCCUGGGGUUGCCCCUGGUGGUGGUUCUCACCCUCUUCUUCAUCUGUUGCCAUUGCUGCUGUAGCCGGCCACCUAAGAGCAACCAACAGCCAGACCAGAACAAGAAGAAAAAGAAAAAGAAGAAGAAAAAGAAAGAUGAAGACCUCUGGAUCUCUGCUCAGCCCAAGCUCCUCCAGAUGGAGAAGAGACCAUCACUGCUUGUCUAGUGAGCAAGGGGGCAGCGUGUCCUCCCCUUGGAGCCGAGCCUCCUUCCAACCACAGAGACUUGGAGGAGCCUUUAACGUGAUGCAUUCACUCCCACAGAUCACUCAACCAAGGGACAAAUUUCAGACUACGCAUCCCAAUGGAUGGGGGCGGCGUGUAGACAAUUCUUACUCUGUCUUGGCAGCUAUGUGUCCCGUAUCAGUGCCCCAAGCAUGGACAGCAGUUUCUGGUAUACUCCAGCACAAAAGCACAGAAAGUAUGUACAUAUGCAUCUUAGAUGGCUUUCAACUCUGUUUGUAUCAUAUGUAUGCACAUUUGGACAACAGGUACAUGGGACAGGAUAUUCUAUUUAUCACGCAGCCAUGUAAUAUAUAUUUUUGCUCAAAUAUAUAUACUUGCAGAAAUGUGUUAUGAGAAGAUAUGUCCAGAUUUAGGCACAUAUGUGCAAUUAAGAAGCCAUGGUGCAAGGCCCUAUGCACUGUCUGUAUAUCAUUCAGGUUGGAGAUGGGUGUGUUCUAUUCCUACAUAAUGUUUUACUGGAAAUACAUUUGGACAUUCUAAGACCCUGGUACAGUCCCCACUUCAGUAUAUAUUGAUACAGACAUAGCUAGUGGUUUCUAUAUGCUUCUGACCUUUUGCCUAUACCUGAAAGUUUAAAGUAUGGCUCCAGAUACACUCAAAGCUCUUUGCUUGCAAUUCACGACAAGGUCCUCAUUACCUCUAACAGAUGUCUAAUGUGGCCCAAGACCUCUCGGGGACAUUACCCCAUAACUACUCAGCAAGGUGCCCUUUUCUAAGCAGUGAUGAACAGCUCUUGGCAGUGACUAUGAGAAAGCUAUGGAAACCCACAUAUUCACUUCACUGGAUUGCAGGUGUGUACCCACGAGAUGUAAUAUAGAGAUAGAAAGCGUAAGGAGAGAUGCCUCGCAUGAGCUAGCUAUAAUCCGUGUGACCAAGGGCUUCCAGAAAGAAACCAAGUAAGAUCAUCCCAAGUCCAGUCUCAUAACCAUCACACAUGCACACAUACACUUGCACAUGCACACGCAUACACAACACAACACAUACCAGAAGCAAUCCUGUGUUGGUAGCAGUGCAUAAUGUAUUGCCAGUGGGAGGUAGAAGCCAUAGUUUAAAUGAAAGAUAAAACUAUAAAGGUAUCUGUUGCUAUUUAUGUUGAUGCUCAGGCAAAUGUCUUGUACACAGUAGGUACUCAUAACUGUGGAUGGAUAUGCAAUGAUGCUAAGGAUAACUUGUAAUACCUCACAAUUCAACCUGAGUGACCUACUCUUUUAAGACACGCCAUUAACUGCUACAGAAGGUGAGGCAAGGCAUUGAGACCAGGGUUGAUUGACAUAUGUGCCCUGUGGUACCUGAAGCCAUGCCACUUUCUGAGUGGAAGAGAGCCUUUCCUCCCCAGUCAAAGAAAACAAAUUGCUUGGCAUUUUGAUUGUAUUGUGGCCAUGUUACAAAGGCAGAGAAUUCCCAGCUUGGAAGCGAUUAUACUCCAACGGCUCAUUUGCACAUCUACUGGGGAGCUCUAUAAAUAUUGUCCCCAUGGAGACCAUUAUAGACAGUAGAAAAAUCACUGUCUAAUUAAUGACAUAGCCAAAUUAUGACAUUACAGCAGCAAGAAAAAAAUUCCCAAAAUUGAUGAGACUGUAUGAAUGUAAAGUUGUACUCUACUUGCUCAGCUGGGCCACCUGGUACUCAUGUCUACUCCCGAUGUGCUCCAGGCCCUUGGAGGGUAGCUACCUAAUGGUGGCUACCUGGGCCUUCUAGCAGACAGUCACAUUUCACCCGCUCAUCCUACAUCACCUCAAUGCCACUAGGCACUCAAGCCUUCCACCCUCAGGCCUCUUUGACCAAAGCAACACUUCCUGAUUCUCUGCCCCCUUGUCACAUAGGGAGCUGGUUGUGGAUUACCUGGCUGUCCUCCGCAUGUCACAGAAUGACCAGUCUUCUCCCCUUCUCUGCCAAUUGGUACCCACCAGAUGCUCUUCCCACUUCUCUCAGUUGCCCUAAGACAGAAGACUUGGGGGUAGAGGUGAAGACACAGCAGAAAUGGGAUGUCAGAUAACAGUCUGCAAGGAUGGAUCGCCGGAAUCAGGGACCAUACAAAUUACACGGUUUCCGUGACAACUGGCUGCCAGUUUGAAUUAAGACAGCAGUCAGUUGUCCCUGAUUGCCAUAACAAAGCCCCUGACUCUGGACACAAGUGUACCUACUGCUUUCUAACCAAAUAGACUUGAGCCAGUUCCUGACAUAAACCAUCCAGAAAGGCAGUUCCCAGUUGCUUCUAUAUCCUGGAAUCCCAACCGUGACUGGAUCACCUCUUCCUGUCGCAGACUCUCCGACAGCCUUGAUAGAGCACUUAGGAUGAUACAGGGCCCAUGAAGUGAUAGGCCCUCCCAUAGACACCAGAGAGCAGAAGCCCAAAGUAUUGCUUGGUGCCCUGUCGCCCUGCCUCACCCUGACAAUUCUUCUCAUAUUACUGCUUCUCCUUGCAUCAUGCCAAUUCAUUCCUUUAUGACUCUACAGACACUGUUUCCCUUGGUCUAUUCCAGAGUUGCCACGGAUACAGUCCUAGGGUAAGGUGCUUGGGACUUGUGCCUACCUGAUCCAUCUGGGGACAGUAAGUUCAUGAAGAACCUAAGAGGCCCCAGGGGGCUGGAGGAAUGGCUCAGCAGUUAAGAGCACUUGUUGCUUCUGUAGAAGACCCAAGUACCAGACAUGCAUGUGGUACACAUGUAUACAUGCAGGCAAACCACUCAUACACAUAAAAUAAAUCUUUUUCGAAAAUUUGAAAAGAAGAUGCAUAAAGAAGAGACCUUCUCAACUGGCAUGGACUUGGGCAUUGGGGUUGUCCCCACCCACACUGGACUUCUGGCCUGCCUUAGUCACACUCAGAAACAGUCAGAGGGGUCUUUAUCCAGUGUCCAAUAGACUUUUUUUGAUUUCUUGGGAAGAGGAAAAAGAACAGGAAGAUGUAAAGAAAAGCCAGUCACUUUUUCAAGAAAUGAAUCGCUCAUAUGAAUGAUCGAAGCUGUACAGUAUUUGUCAGUGUUUUGUUUUCUGUAAAAUUCAAAUACAUAUAAAAGUUUAUUUAAAUAAAUGUUUUGAAAAUGAAAUCCUCCUCGCACGUUGGAUUGAGUCACUGGCUUACCGCUGAGAUAUUAUUCUCACACAGAAUUGACAGAAGCAGAGGCUCUUCCUGCCUGGUCCCUGGCCUCCUAGAAUCUCAGGUCUGAGGACCAGAAAUGUGGCAUCUCUCCCUUCUACGCAAAGCAGGCGACUUUGGAAGCUGAACUGAGCAACAACGGCUGCAGAAAACAUACUGAUGUUCCCUGGCGACACUUAGAAAACAUUUCUCCACUGAAGUCCAUGUCUUUCAUAGGAAAAGGAAGAAAUAACCUUUGGGUUAAUCUGGUGCUAAGAAACAAAGGACCAAGGGACACAGAUACCUGUGUCUAUGUGCAUGUAUUUAUAUAAGCACAUUUAUCCUUUUUCUAAGUCAACCACAACUUUGCCCUAGUUAGAAAAUGAAAUGACUUGGAUGCUCUUGAUUCCUUUCCCAACAAUGCUUACCUAGAGUGCGGGCCAACAGAAACAAGAUGGUGAAAUGUUCCCGACUGGCACUGCCCAAUCUGGUACUAUUAGCCACAUGUGGCUCUGUUCAUUAAAAUUAAAUUAGAUUAAAAGUCCAGAGCUCAAUUAUGCCAGCCAUAUUUCAAGCACUCAAUAGCCACCCUAUGGCUAGGAACACCACCCUGAAUGGCAGAGGCUAGCAUCUUGUGGAAAGAGUAAUUCAGUGUUAGUGAACAGCUGCGCUGUUUAACGGAAGCUUGAGAAGGAAGACCCACGGCGCAGCUGCACACUUCCUGUCUUGCCCAAGGCAGGCUGUUUCGCAGUUUCGGCUGAUCCUUCAGCUUUUCUCCUAUCACUACAAAGCUAUGACAACCAGGGGACAGAGUAUUUUCAUUCAACCUGCUAUUCAAGUCUCUAGAAUAUUGCGAAAGUUUCUGAUGCAGAGGAGGGGCCGCCCAGAGGCGAUAGUGCAACUCCCAGGCAUCUCAUUGGCUCACCACCCUUCCAGCUCCAUCAGCUCUGCCUGCUCAGGCUCACCCACACUCGGAGCGUUAGGACAGAGUUGCGCAAUGCAACCAUCCAUUAGCAUUCUCAACUGACUGGAGUACUCUGCUGCCUGCUUGCCCUUUGCCCUUAAGAUUAUUCUUGAAUUCAAAGUCACAGGCACACAAGCUUGAACAGCAGCAGCAACAAAACUCCCUUCGGACAACUUACUGUAUCGGUCAUAGGUUCAACUUAUUGAAUUGUUUUCAGAUUCCCAUGGGGCCAAGCAUCACGAUUUAUUCAGUAAUGGCAGGGCAUGCAUAUCAAAGGAUUUUAGCUCUUUCGAGGUGCCAAGUCCACUGAGCCCAUACUACAGUAUUUGUCCUGAAGGGUCACAACUGGCCUAAAGGAACAAACCACAACCAUAUAACGUGUUUGUCACUUUCCCAGAGGGACACAUCCACCAAGACUAGCAUCAAGUCAGGCUGGCAAAGAGUUGCACUGGGUGAGCGGAGAAAGGAUGCUAUUGGCAGAAUAGACGAGAGUCCCUGAGCACCGAGGGCUGGGGCUGAGGACUAGGGCUGUCCAGAUCCUGGGACCCACACCAGUUCUCACAUGUAAUUUAUGCCUGUGAUGUUACCUCCAUAUUAAAACUUAUCUUCAGAAAUUAAAUGGAGAAAU
rnacentral:sRNA from 1 species